rnacentral:rRNA from 1 species
CAAAANACGGUCCCACGUUCAGAUUGCAGGCUGCAACUCGCCUGCAUGAAGGCGGAAUUGCUAGUAAUCGCGAAUCAGGAUGUCGCGGUGAAUACGUUCCCGGGCCUUGUACACACCGCCCGUCACACCAUGAGAGUUGGGAAUACCCGAAGCCUGUGAGCUAGCGUUAAGAGGCAGCAGUCGAAGGUAGAAUCAAUGAUUGGGGUGAAGUCGUAACAAGGUAUC